GUUAAGUGAAACUGAAGCAAUGCUGCCCAAAACUGAUAUCAAGUUGACUGAAUAACAGUUAAAGAACGAUGGGUAUAAUCCCUAUAUUUGGAACCUGUCAUUCACAGAUCUGGCUGGAUCUCAGUGAUUUAUGGAUGUUUCAUGAUCAGUAUGUGGAAAGUGCCUCUAAAAUUAGGGUUACUACCCAAUUAUGUUGGAGAAAAAGGACUUUUUGUCAAACACAGCAUUGGCCAAGAAACAAAUUACUGUACAAAGAACAUCUUUGUUUUCUUUUCUUUUCUUUUUUAACUAUGUGCCCAUCUAAAAACACACAACUCCCACAUUCUUUGGUUAUUAUUAAAGUACAAUGAAACUUCUUUAAACUGAACCAAGUAAAAUGUCUUGUUUUAAGGGGUACCCAGUUUAGAGAGGUUAUUUUUUGUUCCGAUCUUUAAAAAUGGACAGUGAAAAACAUGUGGUUUAAAGAGAAUUUCAGUUUACAGAGGGUCUGGUUUUGAGCGGUUUCACUGUAUUAUUGCUCUUAUACUUCUGUACAAGUAUUAAAGGGACAAUCCAAAGUUUGUUGCUGUGCUUAGAAUAGAUAGAAGAUAAUUAAUCUACUCACAUCUGAUACAGCUGGAUAGUUUAAGCUAAAAUCUAGGUUUGAAAUAUAAAGCAUUAUGAUGUCAUUAUAGAGAUUUGGGAUUCCUUUUGACCCAGUUAUUUUUAAUUUUGUUUGGCACUUGCAGAUAUAUAUAUAUAUAUAUAUAUAUAUAUAUAUAUAUAUUGGUGGGAAUUUCUGCACACCUCAAAACUCAUAAAACAUCACACACACCCAUUUGAACUAACCGCACUACCCCUCAAACAGAUUAUUUUAACAAGUGCAAUUACCCUUCGCCCCACUUUCCUGAAUGUUUCAAAACUAGUCUACUUUUGUGAAAGGGAAAAUCCAGUAUGAAAUUAUAGUUGGCAAAAAUCCAUAAUGCUCUACAACAUACAUUAGGAUGUCUGAAAAUCGGGGAAUAUGCAAGUAUUUAAUAUUAAUAAUGUUAAAAGGAUUUAAAGGCCUAGGACUAAGAAUAUCUCUUCUUUUUUUUUUGGUAUGGGUGUUUGAAAAUACUUCAGUAUGAACAUUUUGACGGUUAUUAUUAUUUUCCCAGCACAUACAUCACAUAAUAAAUUUGUAUGGUAAAAACAAAGAAGCCGAUCAUGUGUUUACAAAACUGGUAUGUUACUUGUACAUGCAUGCAUUUUAAAUAAAUAAUAUUUAAGCUAGUUCAUUCAAAUGAGGGGAUGUUUUUUAAUGUAUGUUGUGAAGAAAGAUUGUCAAACUUAUUUUGUGUAUAUUGUGUGUUUUACCUGAAAAGGUAGGAUAGCCAUAUACAUAGGUGUCGGUAUCAAAAUUAUUGUCCAAUCCACGAAGCUACUUAAUGAAAGAUAUAUUAUAUGUAGUAUAAACAUCAUGCUCUCUUUAGUAACAAAAUAAAACCAUACAGUUCAAUAUGUUGCAAUAUAUCUGCAAAAUAAAAAUAAAAAAUUUGUCUAAAUUUUGGAUUUUUGGAUGUCCUAAUUUUAAAAAUAUGUAUAUAUUUUUGUACUUAUGUUAUAUAAAGUUUCACAAAACAAUGUCUUUUAUAUUGCACAUGUAUACCUGCAUGCUAUUUAUUCUAGUCUGAUGCAAAAAUCUUUUAUAAAUAUUGUCCCAAAGUCAUUAUCUUUCCGGUAACAAUUCUUACAAAAAAUAUUUCUCUCUAAGGAAUCCAUUUGAGUACCGUAGCACCUUUUUUUGAAGCUGCAAGACCACAAUUUUUUUAACAAGAAUUAAAGAAUAGCCAAAAAAAAGGAGAAGACAUUCAAGGGAAGGUUAUAAGGAAAGAUCGAUUUUGUUACAGUUGAAUUUUGCACCAAAGUGUUAACUUUUUAAUGUACUAUUGAUACUGGGCCUAUUUCUUCUGAAUACGUGAAAAUAAACAAGCUCAGUAUUUUGUCAGUAAAAAAACACUGCAACACAAGUGAUUCUUGUAUCAUUAAGUUCUGCAUCUAAAAAGCUGCAUGCAGUGGUCAAGAAUAAUUGUUCGUAAUUUGGUCAAAUUUGAUACUGACAUAUAAUUACAACUGAGAAGCAAAUAUAUUAAAUUUCCCAAUAAUUAUUUGGAUAUUAGUUAACAAGUUAGUUCAUUACAUUAUUUAUAUAUAUUGUGUAAUUUUGUAUGGUUUUCAAUUGGCAAUUUAUUGUUUUCAUUUAAUUUAUUCAUCGAUAUUAAUUACCAUUCCGUCCAAGCAGAAACUGUGAGAACUUGCAUUUUCAAUAAAUUUCAAUUUUUC